CUACGGGUUGCUGCAGUGAGGAAUAUUGCACAAUGGAGGAAACUCUGAUGCAGCAACGCCGCGUAGAGGAUGACGCAUUUCGGUGUGUAAACUCCUUUUAUAUGUCAAGAAAAUGACGGUUGCAUAUGAAUAAGCACCGGCUAACUCCGUGCCAGCAGCCGCGGUAAUACGGAGGGUGCAAGCGUUACUCGGAAUCACUGGGCGUAAAGGACGCGUAGGCGGGAUAUCAAGUCAGGUGUGAAAUCCUACAGCUUAACUGUAGAACUGCACUUGAAACUGGUAACCUAGAGUAUGGGAGGGGGAGAUGGAAUUAGUGGUGUAGGGGUAAAAUCCGUAGAUAUCACUAGGAAUACCUAAAGCGAAGGCGAUCUCCUGGAACAUAACUGACGCUAAGGCGUGAAAGCGUGGGGAGCAAACAGGAUUAGAUACCCCGGUAGUC
rnacentral:rRNA from 1 species